CUAAUCCAGAACAGCUCCCGCUGAAGGAGCAACUUUUUACGAUCUCCACCUCUUCUCGGCACAGGAACAUGGUCAAUCGCCAUCAAUUUCAUGGAAGACAAAGGAUGUCCAAGUUCUAAAAAAUGCUUCGCCACCGGCAGUUCUGACUUAUUAUCCCUAUAAGCAGUUCUGAUGCUCGAUCUAUGGUUACGGAUUCUCUCUCUCAG